CUCCCCACAGUGCUCCAGGCGUGGGAUGCUGCAGCAGCGCAGGGCCGAUGCCUGCGGGAGGUGGUGGCACGGACCUGACAAGCCCUUCGGUGCCAGAUAUUGUGGAAGACUGUACAGUGCAGACUGGCCCCAGCAGCACGGGCAGGGCUCCCCUCCAGAGGGCACCGGCUCCGGGAGGGUAAACCUUUAAAAACCAAGAACUUGAAUGCAACAGUCCUCAGGUGCGAGCCGUCCCGGGGAGGAGGAGCAGGCAGGAGGAUGCUCUCCUUCCGCCGCGGAGACGCCGCUGCGGGUCCCACACACCGUGCCGACUACAGCAAUAACUUCCAAUAACACGUAUGCAAAGCUGAAAAGCACAGUUAAAUAAAAAUAUUUUUGAACAAAACAAACCACAACAGACUCGACUGUCUCAACGCUUCUUCACAAAUCGGCUCCCCUGCGAUGGCUGCUGUUC